rnacentral:rRNA from 1 species
AUACGGAGGGUGCAAGCGUUACUCGGAAUCACUGGGCGUAAAGCGCGCGCAGGCGGCUUGAUAAGUUGGAUGUGAAAGCCUACGGCUCAACCGUAGAACUGCAUCCAAAACUGUCAAGCUAGAGUCUGGGAGGGGAAGAUGGAACUAGUUGUGUAGGGGUAAAAUCCGUAGAGAUAACUAGGAAUACCAAAAGCGAAGGCGAUCUUCUGGAACAGUACUGACGCUGAGGCGCGAAAGCGUGGGGAGCAAACAGGAUUAGAAACCCUAGUAGUCC